UACACGAAAGGGCACACAUAAUGAUGACGAGUAGGGCGAGGCACGUGAAACCUUGUCUGAAUAUGGGGGGACCAUCCUCCAAGGCUAAAUACUCCUGACUGACCGAUAGUGAACCAGUACCGUGAGGGAAAGGCGAAAAGAACCCCUGUGAGGGGAGUGAAAUAGAUCCUGAAACCGCAUGCAUACAAGCAGUGGGAGCACCUUCGUGGUGUGACUGCGUACCUUUUGUAUAAUGGGUCAGCGACUUAUAUUCAGUAGCGAGGUUAACCGUAUAGGGGAGCCGUAGAGAAAUCGAGUCUUAAUAGGGCGUUUAGUUGCUGGGUAUAGACCCGAAACCAGGCGAUCUAUCCAUGAGCAGGUUGAAGGUUGGGUAACACUAACUGGAGGACCGAACCCACUGUCGUUGAAAAGCCAGGGGAUGACUUGUGGAUAGGGGUGAAAGGCUAAUCAAGCCUGGUGAUAGCUGGUUCUCCCCGAAAGCUAUUUAGGUAGCGCCUCGGACGAAUACCAUAGGGGGUAGAGCACUGUUUCGGCUAGGGGGUCAUCCCGACUUACCAAACCGAUGCAAACUCCGAAUACCUAUGAGUACUAUCCGGGAGACAGACUGCGGGUGCUAACGUCCGUAGUCAAGAGGAAAACAAUCCAGACCGCCAGCUAAGGCCCCAAAAUCAUAGUUAAGUGGGAAACGAUGUGGGAAGGCAUAGACAGCUAGGAGGUUGGCUUAGAAGCAGCCACCCUUUAAAGAAAGCGUAAUAGCUCACUAGUCGAGUCGGCCUGCGCGGAAGAUGUAACGGGGCUAAAA
rnacentral:rRNA from 1 species